rnacentral:rRNA from 1 species
AGAGUUUGAUCCUGGCUCAGAUUGAACGCUGGCGGCAGGCCUAACACAUGCAAGUCGAGCGGAUGAAAGGAGCUUGCUCCUGGAUUCAGCGGCGGACGGGUGAGUAAUGCCUAGGAAUCUGCCUGGUAGUGGGGGACAACGUUUCGAAAGGAACGCUAAUACCGCAUACGUCCUACGGGAGAAAGCAGGGGACCUUCGGGCCUUGCGCUAUCAGAUGAGCCUAGGUCGGAUUAGCUAGUUGGUGAGGUAAUGGCUCACCAAGGCGACGAUCCGUAACUGGUCUGAGAGGAUGAUCAGUCACACUGGAACUGAGACACGGUCCAGACUCCUACGGGAGGCAGCAGUGGGGAAUAUUGGACAAUGGGCGAAAGCCUGAUCCAGCCAUGCCGCGUGCAGGAAGACGGCCCUACGGGUUGUAAACUGCUUUUCCGGGGGAAGAAUAAGGCCCAUGCGUGGGCCGAUGCCGGUACCCCGGGAAUAAGGAUCGGCUAACUCCGUGCCAGCAGCCGCGGUAAUACGGAGGAUCCGAGCGUUAUCCGGAUUUACUGGGUUUAAAGGGUGCGUAGGCGGACGCCUAAGUCAGCGGUGAAAUGCGGGGGCUCAACCUUCGAACCGCCGUUGAUACUGGGCGUCUUGGAUUCGGUCGAGGCGGGCGGAACGCGACAUGUAGCGGUGAAAUGCUUAGAUAUGUCGCAGAACGCCGAUUGCGAAGGCAGCUCGCCGGGCCGACAUCGACGCUGAGGCACGAAAGCGUGGGUAGCGAACAGGAUUAGAUACCCUGGUAGUCC